AUUGAACGCUGGCGGCAUGCUUUACACAUGCAAGUCGAACGGUAACAGGGAGCUUGCUCCGCUGACGAGUGGCGAACGGGUGAGUAAUAUAUCGGAACGUACCCAAGAGUGGGGGAUAACGUAGCGAAAGUUACGCUAAUACCGCAUACGAUCCAAGGAUGAAAGCAGGGGACCUUCGGGCCUUGUGCUCCUGGAGCGGCCGAUAUCUGAUUAGCUAGUUGGUGAGGUAAAGACUCACCAAGGCGACGAUCAGUAGCUGGUCUGAGAGGACGACCAGCCACACUGGAACUGAGACACGGUCCAGACUCCUACGGGAGGCAGCAGUGGGGAAUUUUGGACAAUGGGCGCAAGCCUGAUCCAGCAAUGCCGCGUGAGUGAAGAAGGCCUUCGGGUUGUAAAGCUCUUUUGUCAGGGAAGAAACGGGAGUGGCUAAUAUCCACUCCUAAUGACGGUACCUGAAGAAUAAGCACCGGCUAACUACGUGCCAGCCGCCGCGGUAAUAC
rnacentral:rRNA from 1 species